UACCGCCGGCGAAUUGGCGUCGGCGAAGGACCAAACGGGGUCAACAGC
rnacentral:sRNA from 12 species